AGUGAACGCUGGCGGUAGGCCUAACACAUGCAAGUCGAACGGCAGCACAGUAAGAGCUUGCUCUUACGGGUGGCGAGUGGCGGACGGGUGAGGAAUACAUCGGAAUCUACUUUUUCGGGGGGGAUAACGUAGGGAAACUUACGCUAAUACCGCAUACGACCUACGGGUGAAAGCAGGGGAUCUUCGGACCUUGCGCGAUUGAAUGAGCCGAUGUCGGAUUAGCUAGUUGGCGGGGUAAAGGCCCACCAAGGCGACGAUCCGUAGCUGGUCUGAGAGGAUGAUCAGCCACACUGGAACUGAGACACGGCCCAGACUCCUACGGGAGGCAGCAGUGGGGAAUAUUGGACAAUGGGCGCAAGCCUGAUCCAGCCAUACCGCGUGGGUGAAGAAGGCCUUCGGGUUGUAAAGCCCUUUUGUUGGGAAAGAAAAGCAGCAGGUUAAUACCCCGCUGUUCUGACGGUACCCAAAGAAUAAGCACCGGCUAACUUCGUG
rnacentral:rRNA from 1 species